rnacentral:rRNA from 1 species
AUGGCAGCGACCUCCUCCUCCUCCUACGCCGUCGCGGUCGCUCUCCUCUGCCUGCUCGCCGCCGAUGGCUGCUGCGGCUGCCCUGGACUCGCACCUCCACCUUCGCCCGCUACCCCCAGCCCAGGGCCACCUGGUACGGCGCUCCCGAUGGCGCCGGGCCGGACGACAAUGAUAAGGUGCGUGGGCAAGGCUCACCCGGCAUGCUCCGGCGUCCCCGAGACGGUGAUCAUCACGGACAUGAACUACUACCCCGUCGCCCGCUACCACUUCGACCUCAGCGGCACCGCCUUCGGCGCCAUGGCCAAGGACGGCCGCAACGACGAGCUCCGCCACGCCGGCAUCAUCGACAUGCAGUUCAAGAGGGUGCCGUGCGAGUACACGGGGCUGUCCGUGACGUUCCACGUGGAGAAGGGUUCGAACCCAAACUACCUGGCGAUCCUUGUGGAGUACGGGAAUGGUGACGGCGACGUGGCGCAGGUGGACCUCACCAACGGGUCUGGCAGGUCGCUCGUCGCCGACCAGGUCAUCCCCGCCAACUGGAAGCCAGAUGCCGUGUACAGCUCCGCCGUCCAGUUCGAUGAUUGA